rnacentral:rRNA from 1 species
GAUGAACGCUGGCGGCGUGCCUAAUACAUGCAAGUCGAGCGAACAGACGAGGAGCUUGCUCCUCUGACGUUAGCGGCGGACGGGUGAGUAAAACGUGGAUAACCUACCUAUAAGACUGGGAUAACUUCGGGAAACCGGAGCUAAUACCGGAUAACAUGUUGAACCGCAUGGUUCAACAGUGAAAGACGGUCUUGCUGUCACUUAUAGAUGGAUCCGCGCCGCAUUAGCUAGUUGGUAAGGUAACGGCUUACCAAGGCAACGAUGCGUAGCCGACCUGAGGGGGUGAUCGGCCACACUGGAACUGAGACACGGUCCAGACUCCUACGGGAGGCAGCAGUAGGGAAUCUUCCGCAAUGGGCGAAAGCCUGACGGAGCAACGCCGCGUGAGUGAAGAAGGUCUUCGGAUCGUAAAACUCUGUUAUUAGGGAAGAACAAAUGUGUAAGUAACUAUGCACGUCUUGACGGUACCUAAUCAGAAAGCCACGGCUAACUACGU